CCUGCCCGCCGCUCCCGGGUGCUCAGGAGAUGAUCUCCGUCUCGUGUCGGGCCAGCGCCGGCGGCAGGGUGGUCCCGCAGGGGCCCGGAAAGUGAAACCUGGAAGGAAACGGCCGCGUGAAGGGGCGAGCGACCGCCAGCAACCGCUGCUGCUUCUGGCGGUGCCCGAGGGCAUCUGACAUGCAGUCCUUGUGCUGGACAGAAGGCAGCUGAUGCCAUUCUACACAUAUGUUGGAAGUACGCACACAGAAUGGUGGGCUGAACAGUUGUUCAGCUCAGAUACUUUAUCACAUCUUUCCUUUACUCAGCUCCUGAAAUGUGUGGAACUUAAAAACCAUAGUAGGUGCUACAGUCCUCUACCUCCAUCAACAUUAACAAACUGGCCAUCAGGUUUUUAAGGAGAAAGUGAAUUGCAAGAAGCAUCGCGUUAGCCUCUUUUCCUUAGGAACCAGAUGAAAAAUAUAGUGGCUUUUUACAUCUACAACUACCUAAGGCAAAGCUUCAGCCGUUAUAAAAAAGCACAGUGGCCUGCUUAAUUCCUGCAAGAGACUAUACUGUGGCGGUACCCCAGCACAAUAUUAAAGACUAACAGUAGGCAGCACCUGCAAAGUAGUAAAUUGUUUACUGUGUAGAACUUAAUUUUCUUACUGCAAUUCUCCAACUACUCCAGCUACUACAAAACCCAUGAACUGACGCAUGUGUCACCUUGAUGCUCAAGUACACAAGCCUGCGAUCCCUUUAGCAUCAUGAUAAACUAGUAUAGACUCCUGUUGACUGUUGUCUGCUGUCCCCUGCAACGCCAGGUUUAGAUUUAGACUCAGUUCUCUGAGGCAAAGUCCCACAUCUUUUUCUGUAGAAUGUUUCUGUAUCCUUCCAAAACCACGUGAACAGCAAUAUAAGCCUUUGAGACGCACAAAGAGGUACCAGCAAAGAUCAAAGCAGCCCAUACGUACUGAGGAAGGUCUUCAACUCGAAUAGCGGCAUCUUGUGUUUCAGGAUCUGGAGCCCUGAAGUUACAAAAAUGAAAUAAAUAUUCGGUCAUACAAAGUGCGUUUUAUAUAUUAAUAAAAACUUCGUAUUUCUCUAAAGCAUGCUCUCCAAUCAAGGAAUCUUUGCAACUUCAGCCAACUUCAACACCUGCUACAACCCUAAAAUACCCUACAGAGGCCAGGCACGCAUUUGCCCAGAAUUAUCCCAGAGCUAAGCAGCUGUAAGAUGCUGGUCAAAGUCUGUCAGAAGCACAACAAAUAUUUAUGUAGCCAUUUGAAGAUCUGGCAAAAUACAAAGGGGAAAAUACCUAAAAAUCUGAGCAUGUGCCUGUCCUGUUUCCCUGCCUCCUUUUUUUAAUGGUGAAAGAAAGAGGAUGGCUAGAAAAAGGAGACUGAAGGAUUCUUCUGCAACUUUUAAAGUUGCAGAAAUCCUGGGAACUGAUGCUUCCCUCCUGAUUGUUCCAUGCAUCUGUGUUUCAAGACCUGUAGUCAUGAGAAUCUUAGUGAUGAGUUGAAGGACAAAAGCUGCUCAAGAGAUGCAGAAGAGGACAGUCAGUGUAUCAAGUGAUGACAGUCCAAUUUAAGGAGUAAGCAUCCGAUUUAAUAAAAAAACUGGAAGUUGAAUAGGAUGGGAGUAAACACACAUUCUCAAAGAGUACAACUGUUUGAUGUCCAGUAUGAGAGUUCCAGACCAUCUGAAACUGUUCUAAUUAAAGCAGAUAUAAUGUUGUGCUAACUUAGAGAUUAACGGCUAUUCAUUCACAGGACUUGUUAGUAUCACAGGCUCUCACUGGCGCUACCAAACACUAUACUCAAGUUUCAGAACAGUUGUGUGAAAUUUAAGCAUUAAUACUAGUAAAGGAAAAUGAGGUGGUUGGUUGAAACUCCUGUACAGUCCUAAAAUGGCUCCUUUUCUAUUGAGCAGCAGAUAGACAAAGUAGAAAAUGCAGAGUUUACAAGGCAGACAGUAUUACCCUUUGCCAGCCAAUGCAGGGCAUAUUGGACUCUUGUAAUUUGCAGCCACAUUUCCACAGUUGGUGCAUCGAGUUUUAAAUAAACUACCUGAAAGGCACAAAGAAAACAUCAGAGAUCAAGCGAUUGCUCCGAGGACUGGCUGCACAAAUGGUUCUGUUUAUCUGGACGGCCUUUACUUGACUUUGAAAUUAUACCUUGUGGGUAACUUACUACAUGAAUGUAGCAGCCAAGUGUUGAAACCUGGCAGCAUUAUCCAGGAGACGCUAUUUACUACACAUGGCAUACACACACUUUUGUUCACAGUAUCACAGUAUGUUUGGGAUUGGAAGGGACCUCAAAAGAUCAUCUAGUCCAAUCCCCCUGCUGGAGCAGGAACGCCUAGGUGAGGUCGCACAGGAACAUGUCCAGGCAGGUUUUGAAUGUCUCCAGCGAAGGAGACUCCACAACCCCCCUGGGCAGCCUGUUCCAGUGCUCUGUCACCCUCACUGAGAAGUUUUUUCUCAAAUUUAAGUGGAACCUCUUGUGUUCCAGCUUGAUCCCAUUACCCCUUGUCCUAUCAUUGUUUGCCACCGAGAAGAGCCUGGCUCCAUCCUCAUGGCACUCACCCUUUAUAUACUUAUAAACAUUAAUAAGGUCACCCCUCAGUCUCCUCUUCUCCAAACUAAAGAGAGGUUCGGCAACCCAAGGUGACCAGCACCAUAGUCAGGCACAAACUGGGGCCAGCAAAGACAGGCACAACCCUUCCAGCUGAAAGGCUGCAGUGAACAACAGCAACGGUCCCUCUAAGCUAUGAUUUGUUCUACCUCACCACAUGAGUAAUACACAGUCUUAACAGUAUUUCAGAGGAAAAUAAUUAUCUAAAGUAUCACUGAGGGAAAUUAUUUCUGCUUAUUGCUUUUCCCCUUGAAUCAGAAACAUUUUCAUAAAAGAAUAUAUGCUGCUUAACACUGCUUUGUUUCAUGCAACACUCCCAACCCCAAGAUUUCUGUAGUGUUAGUAACAUUCUGUAGAGAAGUGCAAUAUUACCAAGAGUUUAAAAUUGUUUAAAUUUUGUAAAGACUAAGACUAAAAUUAAACUAUACCCCAGACUUUAUCCUUGGAUCCACAACUGCAAAACAAUUUGUGCAGGUUUCCUGUGUCCAGAUCACAAAGCAGCAGUGGGAAAAGCCAUUUAAACCUUUCAUGGUACUUAAAAGUUAAGAAGCAUCAUAGUGCUGGAGGACCAGGAUGGGACUUUGUCCUGGGAGAUGUUCACUCUGCAGCAGGGCCUGUGAAGUGAAGGCAUCUCACAGGAUGGAGAAAGGCCUCCUCACCCUCAAUUUUUUCCAUCCCUGCAAUGUACUUCAUCAGAGCCAAAGGUUCCACUGCACCUGUGUUGCUCUCCUCUGGACUUUGCUGGAGAGGUGGCAGGAGCAAGGAAUGCCACUAACUAUAGGGAGAGAGAGGGAGUGCCACUGGGUGCAGGAGAGAAAGGCAAGGGGAUUUUAUCUGUUUCCAGCCUCUCCUUCCUCCUGUAGCCAAGGGCUGUGCAGCAGGUGGGUCUUUGAAGGACAGGACAGAGGAACAGGGGCAGGUGGCAGAGCAGAAAGCACCAGGGAUGGAAAGACCAAUCCUGCCAAUCCACGUUUUAUUGGGGGCAAUACCAGUGUGGCACCACCAUUGUUAGCACAGGCUCACAUUGUGAAUAAUUCAUGCAAGUUAUUACAAUUUUUAAGACAAAUUUAUUUUCUCCCAGUACUUCUCCUGCCCUCUCUUCUCCCCCACAAGUUUGCUGGCCUGUAGCAGCCAAGUAACCUGAUUCUUACCAUGAAUUUCUAGGAGGUGCUUUGUGCCUGCCUUUCUGUGUAGUUCAUCAAUAUUCUGCGUAAUGACCACAACACUCCGUCCUUGCUUGCUCAGCCGCCUUUCGCACUCUGCAAUGGCGAUAUGUGCAGGAUUUGGAUGUUUACUCAACAUCACUUCCCGGCGGUAAUGGUAAAAUUCCCAUACACGAGAAGGGUUUCGUGCAAAAGCCUCUGGCGUAGCCAACUCCUGGAAAAGACGUAAGAUGUAAUUCUAGCAACAAAUGGGCAGGAAAAUUCUCUCCCCAGAUGAAGCCUGCUAGCAUGCUGCCAUCUACACUGCUACCAGCGUAACACCAAGACUGAAAGCAGAUUGUUUAUGACCAGAUGCAGUUGAAAAGAAUACAGUUCAAUAGCCCUUACAAGGAUGACAAGUCAAAGUAUCUUAUUGAGGAAAUGACUGAUAUAAAAAGUGUGGUACACAGUCUUACAUAGUACACUCGGACCUUAUUCUCUGCUCUCCUGCCAAACUAUUAGGAGUUUAGUACAAUAUAAAGGAAGGUAUUUCAAUACACGUGAUUUCUGGCGUUCAAAUUCUUUUCUACAGCAGCCAUAAAGCUAGCAAUUUGCCAGCAAUUUCUUUACUGCCUUAAGUGUAACACAAACCAAAUUACAGCCAUUGUCAAAACCCAAGUCUAAUGUCUUCUGUUCAUGUGCUUGUAAAAUCUAGCUAUACUUUUCACACCAAUUUUGCCCUAUCUAUUUUUAAACAAGGAGUAGCUCAGUGUAAUGCUUCCAGGCCCAGUUCUGCUGAUCUGAAAACAAUGAAUACAAACUUUCUGAUGCAGAAGGACUACGCAUUUAUACAAACACUUUAUUUGAAUUAAUAGCCACUGAAAGAAAAAACACACCUUUAGAUUCAAACCAUCUCUAAAACAUGAUCUCUGACCCCUUUUUAACUUCAACGAAUCUUUAAUGAAUGCAUCAUUAAAAAUCAUGAAGCAAAUAUGAUUGCAGGGUUUGGGGUAGCAAUUACUGACAGAAUAAUGAUUAUUUGAAAUAUCUGCAGCACCACAAAAGAUCAGACUCACAAGGUACCAGUACAACUUGUGCAUUUUGGUGCUCUCUGUUGCAUCACUCCACUCUCCAGCAUCUGCUUCCACCUCUUCUCCCACCCAUGUCUCUAAACACUGGCAAGAUCACACCAGCAAGGGAGACAGAGCUUGUGGGAGACUUAGAGACUGUGAGGAACCCUGUCCCCAGACAAAACAAAAUCCUAAAACAUUUUUAAAGAGUAUUAUGAGAAAUCAAGAUUUUUCCCAAACAGCCGAUAACCCAAACAACAGAAAAGAAGCAGCAGCUGCACAAGCGUGGGGAAGAGCUGCAGACAGAGCUGCAGGGAGAGCUGUAUCCCCGCCGUACCCCAUGGGAACACCUCCAGCCCCUGAGGCACCCAUCUUCUCCUGACCCUGCAGGCUUACCUACCUGAUGGAGCAAGAAGCGCGACUGACAGAGACCUGCCACCCGUACAUACCUGGGCCUGCCACUUUCUCCAGAAACCUCCAGCCCCUCUGAAG